UACGUAGGUGGCAAGCGUUGUCCGGAAUUACUGGGUGUAAAGGGAGCGCAGGCGGGAAGCCAAGUCAGCUGUGAAAACUACGGGCUUAACUUGUAGACUGCAGUUGAAACUGGUUUUCUUGAGUGAAGUAGAGGUUGGCGGAAUUCCGAGUGUAGCGAUGAAAUGCGUAGAUAUUCGGAGGAACACCGGUGGCGAAGGCGGCCAACUGGGCUUUAACUGACGCUGAGGCUCGAAAGUGUGGGGAGCAAACAGG
rnacentral:rRNA from 1 species